AUUGAACGCUGGCGGCAGGCCUAACACAUGCAAGUCGAGCGGAUGAAGGGAGCUUGCUCCUGGAUUCAGCGGCGGACGGGUGAGUAAUGCCUAGGAAUCUGCCUGGUAGUGGGGGAUAACGUCCGGAAACGGGCGCUAAUACCGCAUACGUCCUGAGGGAGAAAUUGGUGGAUCUUCGGACCUCACGCUAUCAUAUGAGCCUAGGUCGGAUUAGCUAGUUGGUUGGUUAAAGGCCUACCAAGGCGACGAUCCGUAACUGGUCUGAGAGGAUGAUCAGUCACACUGGAACGGAGACACGGUCCAGACUCCUACGGGAGGCAGCAGUGGGGAAUAUUGGACAAUGGGCGAAAGCCUGAUCCAGACAUGCGGCGUGUGUGAAGAAGGUCUUCGGAUUGUAAAGCACUUUAAGUUGGGAGGAAGGGCAGUAAGUUAAUACCUUGCUGUUUUGACGUUACCAACAGAAUAAGCACCGGCUAACUUCGUG
rnacentral:rRNA from 1 species